GAUGAAGAACGUAGUGAAAUGCGAUAAGUAGUGUGAAUUGCAGAAUUCAGUGAAUCAUCGAAUCUUUGAACGCACAUUGCGCCCGCCAGUAUUCUGGCGGGCAUGCCUGUUCGAGCGUCAUUUCAACCCUCAGGCCCCCAGUGCCUGGCGUUGGGGAUCGGCGUGGGCGGCGAACGGCUCUCCGGAGCCCGAGCCAAUGCCUGCCGGCCCCGAAAUUCAGUGGCGGUCUCGCUGUAGUCCCCCUCUGCGUAGUAGCACAACUCGCAUUGGAGCUCGGCGGUGGCCAUGCCGUAAAACACCCCACUUCUGAAAGUUGACCUCGGAUCAGGUAGGAAUACCCGCUGAACUUAAGCAUAUCAAUAAGCGGAGGA
rnacentral:misc_RNA from 1 species